UCGGGAAUAUUGCACAAUGGAGGAAACUCUGAUGCAGUGACGCCGCGUGCAGGAAGAAGGUUUUCGGAUUGUAAACUGCUUUAGAUGGGGAAGAAAAAAGACUGUACCCAUAGAAUAAGCUCCGGCUAACUACGUGCCAGCAGCCGCGGUAAUACGUAGGGAGCAAGCGUUAUCCGGAUUUAUUGGGUGUAAAGGGUGCGUAGACGGGAAUUUAAGUUAGUUGUGAAAUCCCUCGGCUUAACUGAGGAACUGCAACUAAAACUGAAUUUCUUGAGUGCGGGAGAGGAAAGUGGAAUUCCUAGU
rnacentral:rRNA from 1 species